ensembl:lncRNA
UGGAUUUCUGCUUUCCGUCACAUCACACGUAGAAGAGGCUGCAGGGUGACCCUUUUUUCCUCAUGCACAUUUGGGGUUGUUUUUUUUUGCUCGCUUUACUUAGCAUACUUGCAAUGAAACUUCUAAGUAAAAAUAGAAACUUAAAAAAAAAAACAUUGAAAAGCCGUAAUUACUGCUGGUUGUUGAAAACGGUGUCCAUGUGUGUACCGUCGGUCACUGGGAAAGCUUCUGUGUGAAGGAGUUGUGUUUGGGUGGAGUUGACUACCUGUGUAGGACAUGCAGAAGGAGCGUGUGACCUCAGAUUUAAUAUAAAAGAAUAAUAAAACAUAUUUUUCUGCUGUAGUGCUUGAAGGUGUGUGACAGAGCCUGACAAAGUGAGCUUGGUUCUGCACAAGCACACAGCAGAUCUGCAUGCUAAGCCCAGGCAGGGGAGCCAUUGAGGCCAAUUGAUUUGCAGAUUUCUCUGCAGUUAUGUAUCAGCACUGGAACUGUCUUAAAUGAAGGCAAACUUGAAAAAAUUGGCAAUGUAUUAUUAGUCCAUGACAGGUGUAGAAUGUCACCAUUCUCCAUGGUGAACUGAAGUAUUGAUUUUUCUUUUUCUUUUCCCUUGGCAAUAAGUCUGCAGGAAAAAAAAAAUACAAUCUUUGCUGGGCUUGUUAUCUGAAAUCAAGUAAUGCACCACGUGCCUGACAGCCCAAUAAAACCCAAGUAUGAAUGUCCGUACAGCUUCAACCGUAUCAUUUCCACUCCUAUAUGUAAGUCAGUGACUUGGCUGAAAUGGGAGCAGAAGGGGAGCAGGAGUCCAGAAUGUUAUUAGAAUAAUAGAAAGUAGGCUUUUGUGUUUGUGGGUUUUUCUGUGUAAGUCAAGGACAGAAUUAGUCCUUCAUGAACUGUUUAAACUGCUUGGAAGAAGCCAGUUCAGUAGUGUUAAGAAUGAUGCUAUUUCUGUCAUGCAAUCAGUGCUUGAAGGGAGUGCAAUAUCUGGGUUUUUGGGGCAGUCCUUGGGGGACAUGUAGGUGUGGAGGCCAGAAACACUUGUCUUGAAAAGGGGGAAGUGUUCCUCAUCCAAGAGACCCAGAACUCCCUUUCCUGAGGAAGUCAGGAAGACUUUCUGGGAAAUCCUGUCCCUACAUCUACCACAUGGGCAUGCUCAGAAGAGAGGCAGUGCACAUUUGGCACUCAUCCCAGCACGUGCAGAAACCAGGGCACGUAGGAGAGAUGGGCACAGACAUGCACUUAGUUGUGACCAGAGCUGUGCUGAAUGAUUGACUUUAUUCUAUUCUGGUUUAGUGCUAAGAGUUCUCGGUAGAUGGGGAGGUGUUAUAGAUGGAGGACCUUCUACCCAGCUGUGGGGAUGCUAAUCCCCAAGUUAACAAAUGCUGGCAUGAAACAUCACUGAAUGCCACCCCACCUCACAUACUGCCUAUAAACGUUUCACUGCAUUCUUGUUCUGAAUUGCACAUCUCUUGAAAAGCAGUACAAUGUAAUUAAUGCAAAUAGCAGUCAUAACAAUCAGGAAUUACUUCCAAAAUUAGCAUAACCGAGUUGGCAGAGAAUAAAAGCAGUUAUCUCACUUGGAAAAAAUUUCUUCACCCCAAAUGUUAAUCAUGGGAGAAAUUCUAAGAUUAUUUAAUCUUUUAUGUCCUUAUUAUAAUAAAACUGCUGCGAACCUAGAAAUUUAUUUUAGGGCUGUAAGUCUACACUUACAGAGCAUGCUUGUUGUAAGCAUAAUUUGCACACUUCAGUUCAUGGAAACAAACAGAAAUUUCAGCUCAUAUAUUGUCAGUGCUUAGAAUAACUCCAUCAAAGUUCUCAUAGGUCUGAGGCCCAUGAGUACUUUCUGUACUAUAGUGGUGCAUUUGGCAACAUUUAUCCUUUGAUCAUCAUUAACAUAAUCAAUAGCUUUGUUGGCUGUAGAUGGAAAAGCACCAUGGGAGCUGGCUGUGGGCAACAAGUUCCUUCUGACCAUACAGAUAAUAAUUAGAUUAUUUUGCAUGCUGUAGCAAUUGGACUGAUCAUUACAAUGGGAAAAGGUGUUUCACCAGAGGUGUAACAACAGAAGGAUCAGCAUGAUAGAGAAGUGCCAUAAGGAAAGAAGAUUGCUUAUCUGUAUCAGAAGAUUCCAGGCUCACAGGGGAAAGCUCUACCAAGGAGGGAUCUCCAGAAAGAGAUCCUUCCCCUCAAUUGCUGUCAGCCCUUCAGUGAGUUCUAAGAGGUACACCCUUCCAGUCACACAGGUGAAUGGCCUUCACAUGUGCUCCCAGGGCUGAGUCCUUUCCCCAGGUGCUCAAUCAGUGGUUCAGGCCGUGACUCAACAGUUCCCAUACACAUGCAUACAUUGAAGUGCUCAAGCUGUGCUCCUGAGGAAAGCCAGACAAAACAAGGUGAUGCCCCUCUGGAAUAAAUGUGAACAGCCAACAAUAUUCUCCAUGGGCUGUAAUCAGGGAAGAGUAUCUGAGUUCAUUUCUUAAAACCACCUCCAGUAUUUAUUAAAUAGAACUGUAGAGCCACUAAGAUUAGAAAGACCUUUAAAUUCAUCUAGUCCGACCUCCAACCCAUCCCCACCAUGCUCGCUAAUCAUGUCCCUCAGUGCCACAUCUCCAUGGUUCUUCAACACCCCUAGGGAUGGUGGUGCCACCACCUCCCUGGGCAGUCUGUUCUGAUGGCUCACCACUCUUUCUGAGAAGGCCUUUUUUCCUAAUAUCCAACCUGAAUCUCCCCAUGCACAACAUAAGGUUUCAUUUUUUCUUUUUUUUUUUUCUUUCUUCUGCUGCUGCUUUAGUCAAGUUCCUGCAGCUAUGCAGUGUUGUACCUAUCAAGCAUCAGAACAGUCAUGAUGUUUUGGAUUUUUCAGAUGGAGGAAAUUGUAAAGGAAGAAUUAACACUUUGUCAUUAUUGCUUUUUUAAUUAGUCACGCCAGUCAAUUUUUGUGGUGUGUGGGUCAAAGCCCCCAUGGGUGCUACUUAUUUAGUGAACAGACAGCCUGGAUUAAUGUUGUGAGGGUUUCUGGAAGCAUCUGAUUGACAUUCAGGGAUUUAAUGCUCAGAUUAAUCCAGUAAUUCUAAUUUUAUAAUACGAUGUGUGUCCUUGCAUAAUUUCCUCUUUGGAAGCAAAGAACAGCAUAUAUCCCUCAUGCAAUUGCUACAGCUGUAACAACUCCUUCGUAUUUUAAUGGCACUGAAUGUGCUUAGCAGCUGUCUUGUAAAAUACACAGGAGGAGUGCUUGAAAACCAGGGAUCAUAACGUGGCUGGGAACAACCCUGAAAACCUUUAUUAACCACUUCUGUAACCAACGUACCCCUUAGGAAAAAUGAGAUAUUUAAUGCUUGAUACACUAUGGCACAGGAAAUCCAGUUCCUAACCUGCUUAACAGUUUCUCUAGAAUGAGUCUGGGAGCCUGGGAGAUUUGAAAGAGGGAUGCUGUCUCGUAAUCUGCCUAUUUGUCCUGUUUAGUAGGAAUUGAAAUGCUUAAGGAGGAAAUGUUUAAAACAAAGCACCGCAGAUACAGUGUGAGACAUAGCUGUAUUAAGAUUCAGUGACUGAACCUGACUGUGCUGUCAUACUUCUGUGAAGAUGCAAAAAUGGACCAGCUCUGACAGACCAGUCCUCUGAAAGCAUACAGUUCAUGGCACCUUUAGCAUUUCGUCAUAGAAUCAUUUGCAUCGGAAGGGAUCCUUAAAGUCCACCUAGCCCAACUCCUCUG